rnacentral:rRNA from 1 species
GACGAACGCUGGCGGCGUGCCUAAUACAUGCAAGUCGAACGCAGUGGGGACGGGUGAGUAACACGUGGGUAACCUCCCAUCAGAGGGGAUAACACUUGGAAAAAGGUGCUAAACUGAUACUGAUGGAUGGACCCGCGGUGCAUUAGUUAGUUGGUGGGGUAACGGCUCACCAAGGCCACGAUGCAUAGCCGACCUGAGAGGGUGACCGGCCACACUGGAACUGAGACACGGCCCAGCAUCAUACGGGAGGCAGCAGUGGGGAAUCUUCGGCAAUGGGCGAAAGCCUGACCGAGCAACGCCGCGUGAAUGAAGAAGGUUUGCGGAUUGUAAAGCUCUGUUGUUAGAGAAGCGGUAUCUAACCAGAAAGCCACGGCUAACUACGUGCCAGCAGCCGCGGUAAUUC